rnacentral:rRNA from 1 species
GAUGUUGGCUUAGAAGCAGCCACUCAUUCAAAGAGUGCGUAAUAGCUCACUGGUCGAGUGAUCCUGCGCCGAAGAUUUCCGGGGCUAAAACUUACUACCGAAGCUACGGCAUCAGUAAUGAUGGGAAGGGGAGCUUCCCAUACGGGUUGAAGCAUGACCGUAAGGACAUGUGGACAGUAUGGGAGUGAGAAUGUUGGCAUGAG